CAACGAGNGCAACCCUUAUCCUUUNNUGCCAGCGGUCCGGCCGGGAACUCAAAGGAGACUGCCAGUGAUAAACUGGAGGAAGGUGGGGAUGACGUCAAGUCAUCAUGGCCCUUACGAGUAGGGCUACACACGUGCUACAAUGGCGCAUACAAAGAGAAGCGAACUCGCGAGAGCAAGCGGACCUCAUAAAGUGCGUCGUAGUCCGGAUUGGAGUCUGCAACUCGACUCCAUGAAGUCGGAAUCGCUAGUAAUCNUAGAUCAG
rnacentral:rRNA from 1 species